ACGUGCGGCGUGUGCGCGCCCGUCCGCACGUGCCGGCGGGGCGGGUCCGCUCGCGGGCCGGAGGCUCGAGGCGCGGCGGGAAGGGGAGGAGGCCCCGGAGUGGGUGCCGGGCACGCACCGCGGGGUGACUGCACAGGGCAGCGCACUGACAGCCCCGGCGCUUGCCGGUGUGCUUCUCGCACCUCCUGGCACGGGGAGCAGGACAGGAAACUCGUAGGUCGAGGUACAGACUGGUUCCAAGAGGUGAAGGAGCGGAAGGAGAAGGGAGAAGAAGCAGUGCCAAAGUGAUUUUUUCACCUCCCAGAAGUAGACUGGUGCCCAGCCAGGUCCUGAGGGAAAGACAGGGGGAAAAGGAGAGGAGAGUUGGUCAUGGAGAAACAGAGAAGCCAUAAAAGGCAGUUUCUGGAUUUCAAGGAGAGGAGCAAAGCUGGUCUAAAGGUAUCACUCCAGGAGCAGAGCCCUGCCUGGGAGCAACAUGAUCAUACAGGAAGCACACAGCAGCAUUUUGCCGUAAAACAUCUUUGCUGAGGAAGUAGAGCAUUGAUGGGCUGACAAAAACAGCUGCAAUGAGAAUCAGGUAACAUAAGCCUGAAGCUAAAGCUGGGCUUUCAACAUAAAUCAACUGAUCCAGAAGCUUUUGGUGUAUUUGUAUCAGAAGAGCUUAUAUAGCCAUAGCCACAAGGGCAAAAAGAGAACUGUUUGUGUGGCCAACUGCCCCUCCUGUAAACAGGACAGGUCAUUACUUGUAUAGUUAGAACUGAGUGUAAGAUCUAUGUUGGCAUACAUAAAGCAAUACAUCUAGGGGAAAUAAUUCAUACUUACUCUAAAUCUGUGCUUGUGAGAGAGAGGUUUAGGUCACAGACUUCACAAAGUUUUCUUGUCUGACGUGAAUGGUAACAGGUUGAUAGGACAGAAUAAUUUUGAUACCACCAGUCGCCAAAUAUUCUUGUGUCCAAAAAAGGUGUUUCCCAGUGCUUCUAUAAAUAAAGGGAGAGUUUUCUUAUCUUU